CUCCCGAGCCCUCCUGCCUCUCCCCACCCUCCUCAGCCCUGGAGCCCAGCCAAAGCCCUGGUGAAUCAGGCGGAAGGGAAAAAAGGGAGCGAGGGAGGGAGAGCCGCUUUGCGGGGACGCUGGUAUUCCUGUACAGAGCCAAAAUUGAAUAUGGUGAUGACCCAGGAGUGGAGUGAUUCUAGCUGGUCAAAUCCGUGCACGGCUCUUUCAGUGGUCAGAGCCAUAUGGCUGCAUACAAUGGAAUGGAGAAAGAAGACCUAACAGAAAGAAAUACACCUUUAGAUGGAGAUGCUGCAAAACAGAAGACUCCCUCUACAGCUAAUUCAUGCUUGAGCAGGAGCGUGAAAUCAAACCCAGACCCUGUGCCCUAGGCUAAAGCAAUUUCUUGAAUAGUUUUAGAACUGUUUAGAACCCUGUGCUCUGUGGUCCUCACAUUAUGCAGUCUGAGGAGUCUGGAUGUCCAUCCAGCAGGACAUGUGGGGUUGGAUACAGCCCUGUUCUGAAGACAUCAAGAUGGAAGGAGUAGGAAGCCUGUACAGACUCUGGGCACAUCAUCUGAUGAGGAACACAGGUACUCUGCACAAGACUAAUGGGGUUUUACACACCUCACCUCACUCCCUGACUAGAACGCGUCUGGGACAGGCAACGCAUAUCAAAAAGAGAGCUCAAGGUGAAAACGAGAGAGGUAAACUGUUACCAAUUGCCACACAGUUGCUGCUAGGAAUAAAAGGAACAGCAUUCCCAUUAGUUCAUGAAAGAAUGCUCCAGUUUCAGUAUUCUUCAGGGAAAGACAGGCUGACUUUUCCUUUACCAAAUGCCUAUUUCAACCAGCAGCAUUUCCUGCAUGUCGUAGAACCAUGUUGCUGUCACGUGAAGAUGUCAUCAGGCAUUAAAGCGUAAGAACAGGCUUGUAUCUCCCACAAGCUGCCAAUGUAUAUUUAUGGGUGUAUAUUUAGG